rnacentral:rRNA from 1 species
UACGGAGGGGACUAGCAUUGUCCGGAUUUACUGGGCGUAAAGAGCGCGCAGGCGGUCGUUUAAGUCCGAAUGUGGAAAGCCCCCGGCUCAACUGGGGAGGGUCAUUCGAUACUGAUCGACUUGAAGGCAGGAGAGAGAAGUGGAAUUCCCGGUGUAGUGGUGAAAUGCGUAGAUAUCGGGAGGAACACCAGUGGCGAAGGCGACUUCUUGGCCUGUUCAUUGACGCUGGAGGCGACGGAAAGCUGGGGGAGCAAACGGG